rnacentral:rRNA from 1 species
CCCUUAAAAGGAGGCAGCAGGCGCGCAAUUACCCAAUCCUGACUCAGGGAGGUAGUGACAAGAAAUAACAAUAAACCGGCUUAUGCCGGUUUAAUUGGAAUGAGUACAAUUUAAACAUCUUAACGAGGAACAAUUGGAGGGCAAGUCUGGUGCCAGCAGCCGCGGUAAUUCCAGCUCCAAUAGCGUAUACUAAAGUCGUUGCAGUUAAAAAGCUCGUAGUUGGAUUUCUGUGGGGACGGAGCGGCCGGCCGCACAUCGCGGUUCGAGCUAGCGCUUUCCCUACAUCCUGCCGCGAACCGUGCUACCAUUAGUUUGGUGGCGCUGGGGAUCGGCUCGAUUACUUUGAGAAAAAUAGAGUGUUCAAAGCAGGCCACAUGCCUUGAAUAAGUUAGCAUGGAAUAAUAACUAAGGACUUCGGUUCUAUUUUGUUGGUGUUCGGGACUGAAGUAAUGAUUGAUAGGGACAGUUGGGGCGGUCUGUAUUCCAAAGCGAGAGGUGAAAUUCUUAGACCUUCGGAAGACAAACAGCUGCGAAAGCGUUCCGCAAGGAUGUUCCCUUUGAUCAAGAACGAAAGUUGGGGGAUCGAAGACGAUCAGAUACCGUCGUAGUCUCAACUAUAAACUAUACCAGCUAGGGAUCGGCCAACGUUAUUUUAUACCGACUUGGUCGGCACCUUAUGAGAAAUCAAAGCAUCUGGGUUCCGGGGGGAGUAUGGUCGCAAGGCUGAAACUUAAAGGAAUUGACGGAAGGGCACCACCAGCCGUGGAGCCUGUGGCUUAAUUUGACUCAACACGGGAAAACUUACCAGGUCCAGACAUAGUAAGGAUUGACAGAUUGAUAGCUCUUUCUUGAUUCUGUGGGUGGUGGUGCAUGGCCGUUCUUAGUUGGUGGAGUGAUUUGUCUGGUUAAUUCCGUUAACGAACGAGACCCCAGCCUGCUAAAUAGCGCGCGUGAGCUUUGCUCGCGGCGAGCUUCUUAGAGGGACUAUGAUGCGCGAUAGCACAUGGAAGUUUGGGGCAAUAACAGGCCUGUGAUGCCCUUAGAUGUUCUGGGCCGCACACGGGCUACACUGGCGCCUGCAACGAGCAUAUCAGCUGGCCCGAGAGGGUCUUGGCUAAUCUUUUGAACCGGCGCCGUGCUUGGGAUUGACCUUUGCAAUUGUUGGUCAUGCAACGAGGAAUGCCUUGUAAACGCGAGUCAUCAGCUCGCAUUGAAUACGUCCCUGCCCUUUGUACACACCGCCCGUCGCUCCUACCGAUGAAUGUUCCGAUGAAAUUUUCGGAGAGCACCUGUGAACUUGGCUCUGCCUUGCGAACGGGAGGCUCAAAGUCACAUAAAUCUGAACCAUUA